rnacentral:rRNA from 1 species
ACUCAAAGGAAUAGACGGGGACCCACACAAGCGGUGGAGCAUGGGGUUUAAUUCGAUGACAAGCGAAGCACCUCACCCAGACUUGACAUGUUAGGAAUCCUGGAGAAAUUCGGGAGUGCCGUAAGGAACCUAAACACAGGCGCUGCACGGUCGUCGUCAGCUCGUGCCUUGAGGUGUACUGUUCAGUCAGCCAACGAGCGCAACCCUGAUCCUAUGUUGUUUUUUCAUAGGAGACUGCCGCCUCCAAGGCGGAGGAAGGUCAGGAUGACGUCAGAUCAGCGUGGCCCUUAUGUCUGGGGCAACACCCGUGCUACAAUGGCCGGUACAAACGGCAGCAAACCCGCGAGGGUAAGCAAAUCCGAGAAAACCGGUCUCAGUUCGGAUUGAAGUCUGCAACUCGACUUCAUGAAGUUGGAAUCGCUAGUAACCGUGAAUCAGCUACGUCACGGUGAAUAUGUUCCUGGGUCUUGUACACACCGCCCGU